AUCGCUUCUCGGCCUUUUGGCUAAGAUCAAAGUGUAGUAUCUGUUCUUAUCAGCUUAAUAUCUGAUACGCCCCGCAUGCGGGGCCAGUA
rnacentral:snRNA from 1 species